rnacentral:lncRNA from 1 species
UUCUGCCAUGUGAUGACACAGCAAGAAAGCCCUCACCGGAUGCUGAUACUUUGAUCUUGGACUUCCCAGCCUCCAGAACUGGUAAUGAGGAAAAUGAGGCAGCCAGAUGGAGUCCCAGCAAAAGCAGACUUCAGGCAGAAGGAACGGCAAGUCCAGGGCUCUGGAUGAGCCAUGGUCUUCUCUGAUGAGGACUCCAUCCCUGUAAGAAAACUAAAGAGCUGGAGAGUGGAGAGGAAGGAGAGUGUGGGAUGUGAAUUCUAAGCUAUCAAAGAGGUUCUGCUUCCUCUAAGGCCAUGGACGCUGGGUGUGCUAUGGGGUAGACACACCACACUCCUAUUGUCCAGCCACCUAUUAUACCUUCCACACCCAGGAAGUGCUGAGGCCCUUCCUGGAGUCUCCCCAACCCACACAACUGAAACAGCAUGGGGUGUCCACAGGCCCUAUCCACUAGGAUGGCUCCUUCCCCAGCACGGUGGCUGAGCUUCCUGAGAAUGAUGCAUCCUCGUGGCUCUGCUGGUCCUCACAGAUCUCCAGGUAGAAGCUCAUUGUAGAAUAGCAUUUGCCUUGAAUGCUCUGAUAAUUUUCUGCUAACCUAGUUGUGGCUAAUUAAAGUCAGGAGUUUGGUGCUGGCCUCACUUUGGUGCUUGGAAAACUGGGGACAUUGUACUCAGCAGAGAAGUCAUUGGAAAUACAGACUUGCCAGUCCUACCACAGAAGAUGAUGAUUUAGUAGAGUUAUGCUGGCCCAGCAAUCAGCAUUUACAGAAGCAUUCCUGGAGAUUCCGUGAUUGUGCUGCGAGGUGGCAUUUGGCAGCCCUGCACCCAGAGCCCUGAAGCUCUCUUCAGCAGUAAUGACCUGCCAGGCUACUGUCUUUAGUGACAGGGGAUGCUACGAAGAGUGUGCAUCACCCAAAUGACAGCUCACCAUUGACUCUUAAGAUGGAAGAGACUUUAGAGGCUCUUUAGUCCAAACCUCUCAUUUUUCAAAUGAGGCAGAAGUGUCCUAGAGUGGAAAUGUGACUUACCCAAGGUCACACACCAGAGACUAAAAAUUCUAGAACAAGGACGAGUAUUUUGAUCUCCAGUGAUCUGGAAAACUCUGCAUGUCAAACACCCAUUUCUGUUCCCAGCAUCUGGUAACCCCUUAAUUCCUGGUCACCUCCACCCCUCCUCAAUGCCCAGACUUUCCGUCACAUGGAAACCCACUAGGCUUUUGACCUCACAUGCUGUUUCAGCAGGCAUCCCCCUGUGCUGACCUUAGCUCUAGCAGUGUAAGGCGGAGCUGCCCUCCCUGAACUGACAGAGGAGGCUACAGUGUGUUGUGUGGGUGUGGGAGGCUCCAGGAAGGGCCUCAGUGCUCCCUGCGCAUGGAACAUAAAAUAGGCAGCUGGACAACAGGAGUGUGGUGUGUGCCCCACAGCGCACACAGCAUCCAUGGCCUUAGGCGAAGUACAGCCCCUUUUGAUAGCUCAGAAUUCACGUUCCACACCCUCCCUCCUCUCUCAAUCCAGCUCCUCAGUUUUCUUACAGGGAUGGAGUCCUGAACAGAGAAGACUCUGGCCUGAAACCAUUUGAGGGCAGAGCAGUGGCAUUAGUUCAACUUCAG